rnacentral:rRNA from 1 species
GGGAAUCUGCCCUUAGGUUCGGAAUAGCAGUUAGAAAUGACUGCUAAUACCGGAUGAUGACGUAAGUCCAAAGAUUUAUCGCCUAGGGAUGAGCCCGCGUAGGAUUAGCUAGUUGGUGUGGUAAAGGCGCACCAAGGCGACGAUCCUUAGCUGGUCUGAGAGGAUGAUCAGCCACACUGGGACUGAGACACGGCCCAGACUCCUACGGGAGGCAGCAGUGGGGAAUAUUGGACAAUGGGCGCAAGCCUGAUCCAGCAAUGCCGCGUGAGUAAUGAAGGCCUUAGGGUUGUAAAGCUCUUUUACCCGGGAUGAUAAUGACAGUACCGGGAGAAUAAGCCCCGGCUAACUCCGUGCCAGCAGCCGCGGUAAUACGGAGGGGGCUAGCGUUGUUCGGAAUUACUGGGCGUAAAGCGCACGUAGGCGGCUUUGUAAGUUAGAGGUGAAAGCCUGGAGCUCAACUCCAGAACUGCCUUUAAGACUGCAUCGCUUGAAUCCAGGAGAGGUGAGUGGAAUUCCGAGU